rnacentral:rRNA from 1 species
CACAACUUUCUACCACCCACGACCAGCCCUCGCGCGGCUCCGGGGAAGAAGCAGCCACGCACCACGCUCCAGAAGGUAAGGUGUGCGUGGAGAGGCAGUUCGCAACGACCUAUCAUACCGUUGUAGCGGCCCGGGAAGAAGCAGCUGGCGCCACGGGUUUUCCCCUGCUACAUUCUUCUUCUCUCCUCCACCUCGUGCACCAGCGCCCUCUCCUCCAUCCCACUGAGAAUGCCGCGGAAGGAGCGGUGGCGGGGGUCGACAAAGUGGGCUCGUGCACUGACGAUCCCACCUGAGCAGGCUCCUCCUCCGACGUGCCUGAGGCCAGGUGCUCGGAGGUCAGGUGCCCAGAAGCCGGGUGCUCGGAGCCCAGCUGUCCGGAAGCUGGGUGCUCUGAACCCGGGUGCUCUCGGGCCUCCUCGUGUGCAGACCUACCCCAUGGACCAACCCAGUCGGACUCCUCAGCUCACCGGUGCGACUACUACCGCCCCUCGGCUCACCGGUACGACUACUACCGCCCCUCGGCUGACUACUCCUCCCCCUCCUCCCCCGUUGUAGAUGGUCGCACCACGAUGUGCCGAGGGCAGACACGGCCGCUGGGCACUCGUCUCCACCAACUAAAAGGGACUACCCCUCUCCAUUCACGUAAAUUAUAAAAACAUGGAAGACGUAAGUGCAAAGAAGUUUAUUGACUACACAACCGGAACAGUACGACCUCCCCAACCCUGGUGGUACUUUCACAGGCGGCCGGGUUGAGGCAGGAACCUCAAGACUAAGCCGUUUUGAAGGGCCCCAAAUAGUGCAACGGACCACUCCCAGCCGAAGGUCUCCAACCUAACUGAACCCUCGUGAUGAACCGACGGGGCCGGGGCGGCCCACUCUAAUAGCUGCCACAGAACACGUUCUGCUCCCGUCUGCAGUACUAGUCUUUCAAGACCUGUAAGAUGUCCACACUCCUCCCUAUGCUCCUCCUCCGCCUAGUACAAUAGGUGUUCCUCACGUUCGCGGAUGAAGUCUUGAAUGCCGUACUCCAAGCCCACGUCCGACAAGCUCUGAUGAUGCGGCCCGCACCAUAGUUCUUCGGGUUCAUCCUCACAACGCUAUUCAAGAACUCAUUCCUCUUCAUGUACUUCCGGGGAGGCUCUAACACACGCCUAGCCUACCUAACAACCCUCCACAACCAGUUACGCACCACGAGUUUUCUUACAGACCGGUGGGUGUUUCUCCGGUUCCUGUUUGCACGGGUUUACCUUCCACACGGUGUGGUGGUUCCGUCGAGGUUGAAUAAAGUCAUGCCCGCCUUGACCCGUGCGAUAUUAUUCCGCCUAUUCCACGGUCUCCACAUGCUGGACAUACGGUACCGGGUGUGACCGGGAAUGUUCUUUCAGUUCCGUAAGAGACGCAGACUGGAGCUACUAGGUUUCUUGAAGUGGUUGUAGAGGCGGGUGCUGUUCGAGCACGUUAUAUCUCUAGUACCCUUCCGCUCCUUUCCCCUCCUGAAAUUGGGCUCGGUCCCAGGGUAACUAUAUCUCGACGACUACUAUAGACCACCGCCCUCCAGGGUACCGAGGUAUCGGUACCCUCUACCUGAAUAGGCAACAGGAUCGUGAGAGGGCCUCUAGUUCCGCGCGGUCAGCUCGAGGCGAGGACUCUAUUCCGGAGCACUUGCCGGUCAGGUUGAGCGGAAGUUCCGACGAUAUGUCUCACUCUCUCCAUCUUGCCUCUUUGAACCGCCUCCGCCGCCUCUCCGUCGCCCUCAACCUCCUCUCCUGCUGUUUCUACAACCUCCUCCUCUCCCGUACCUUACUGUACGUCCGUUCCCGGUACAUGCUCGAGGAACACAGACACACGCUCUUCAGGCCAGUCUGGCGAGGCGGCUACGGUCACUAACGAGGACCCUCGUGCGAAUUGAGGUCUUUGCGUAGCGUGCUAGGAAGAGGUCGAUGGCCGCGCUCGGUCGGACGAGGAAGAGGUCGAUGGCCGCGCUCGGUCGGGCGAGGAUGUGGAAAGACUAGUGCCAAAGUAAGUGAAGUGCCUUCGGUCGAAGGAUACUACCUAACGAACGAAAAAGGACAAAAAAGGAAACUACGUGAAGAACAUAAGAUGAGCGAACGAUACUACUUUGAAACGUAUAACAUUAUACAUACCUAGCUACCUUGAUACACGUUGGAUGAUACAUACAUACCUACCUAUAUAUACACGACCUAUAAAUAAUACAACCUAUAUAUACACGG